GGGCUUAGCCGUUUGGCUGCCAGGACCGGGGAGAAACAAGAUGGCGGGUGCGGGAGGGGGUCCUCGCUUUGCAGCUCCCUUCCGCGCGCUUUUCCCGGCCUCGUCGCCGCCCUCGCUCCGGGGGAGAGGUCGCGCGUCACCCCCACGCCCCAUCGGGACACCCCUGUGCGCCCCGGCCGCCCCCUCGCGCGCAGCGCUCGCUCCCCGCCGGCCCCCGCCGCCCCCGCUCGCUCCGGCCCCGCCGCCGCCGCCCCCAUUUUACCUCAGCCGCCGGCCGGGCCCCUAGCUUCGGGGGCCCCCUGAGCGCGAGCGCGGCCGGCCGGGUGAGCGGCCGGGCGAGCGGGCCGGGCGAGCGAGCAGCUCCGUGCGCGGCCCGGCUGAGGGAGCGCGGCCUCCUCCCGCUCCGGCCCUCCGCUCCGUCUCCCCGGGCCCGGCCGCCUCUCCCGGGGGAGGAGGGGGAAUGGAGCCACCGCCGCCACCACCGCUGCCGCCCGCCACGGAGCCCGGCCGAGGGGAGGGAGGGAUCAGCCCCCAGGCAGGAUCCGCCCCUCGGCCUCCCCCCGCCACCUCCACCCCUUCCCUCACUCCCUCCCCGGAUCGAGCCGCCGCACGCGAAGCGGGAGCGCGAAAGCGCGGGGAGACCGGAGCGGAUGCCCCCGCCCGAGCCCAGCCCGGCGCGGCGGCAGCGGCGGCGGGGAGACGGGCGGGGAGAUGAGCGCGAAGCGGCAGCGCCACCUCCACGGGGCACCGUCCCCGGCACGGCCUCACGGUGGCGGUGCGGACGCGGCGGGGCCGCUUCACCCUGGGCCUGUCCCAGAGCUGAUCUAGUCGGGGUUCCCACUCUGAAUCCACGGAGCGGUGGCUCACCCCAUCCCAGCCAGAGCGUGGGGCCACCCGCCGCCCCCGAGGUGGGAACGCCCAUGCUCCCACCCACCCACAAAGCUCGCCCCAGGACGACCCCGGAGGGCCACACUGUGUGUGGCUUCCCAGAGUGCAGGUGGCUGCGAAGCCUCCAGAAAGUCGUCCCUCCCCAGGCCCCCGGGACAAAGGUCUAGCGAUGUCCACCCAUCCCCUCCCCCAGUGCGGACAGCCCGGGAAAGACCCGUGCCUGUGGUGUGUGUACAGGUGAGCCUCUCCUGGCACACAAGGCUGCCACGGACCAGACUUUUCCAUCUGUGUGGAGUUUUUUUUUUUUUAAGUAAACAUAAAAGUUUGACAGUCUGCUUAAGCGUGCCUCGUAAUUCCGUUUGUCACUCUAGGCAUGGGAAAUACUUUUCCCCUUGAAUUUGAUUUGGCCAGGAGUCGGUUAAUUUAAUGCACUGAACGGCUUUCUCAAAGGCAGCCUGCCUGUCAAACAGCAACUCCCAGACUUUGAAGUGUACUCAAGCUGCCUUUUGUUCUAAUAAAAGAAAAAAUAAAUAGAAGAAAAGGUCCCUUUGCCCCUCCACGAGCGCAUGUACCUAUAAAUUUGAAAGCUUACCUCGUGACAGAGAUCUUAAGCACCAAUACUUAAUGAUGCUUAUAAAGGAUAUAUGGAUAAACUGCUAUCGAAGAUGAAGAUGAAUGAUAUAUUUUGAAAGCGUUUCCUCUACACGAACGGCUGGUGAGACUUUCAAUUGCUCGAUUGGCUCUGGUAUCCAGGACCUGGGUACUACAGUUGAAAGAGUAGAGAAUAAACAUUUCUCACGGCCCAAACCUUGUGUUUUUAUUUACAUUGAAGUAUAGGUGUUCAGCAUCCUAAGAGUUGAGAAUUUACCAGUUGAGUGAAGCAUGGAAGUUGGGUUUCCUUACAGGAGUGUGUUCUUGAUAGAUGGUAAUAACAUACUGCAAAAAUAACCAAUUUUUAAGAAGGAAAGGGCGUGGCUUGUGGAGCCAAGCAAUCGCCUCCGCCAGCACCCCCACCCCACAGUGUUUUGAAAGCUUUGAAGCAGAAAUGCUGUGAAUUAGUCAACUGUUGUUAAAGCUUGGGGGAAUAAUCACAGGAGGGAAGGUGUGGAAAGAUUAAUUGUGGAAGGGAAGGCCCUAGAGGAAGAAAAUAUUGCAAUUACUUUUAGCUUUAAAAAAAUUGAGGAACAAAUAGGAAUUUCACGUCUUGUUCUUUUACAAUGAAAUAUAAACAUUUACAUAGGA
rnacentral:lncRNA from 1 species